rnacentral:lncRNA from 1 species
UUUUUUUUAUUUUUUUACAAUUUUUGGGCUGAUAAAGGGAUCAAAUGGUAUAAUUCUUUUGUUGGUAGAUUGGAAGAUUAGAAACAUGACUAUUGCUUUCCAGUUGGCUGUUUUUGCAUUAAUUGCUACUUCAUUAAUCUUACUGAUUAGUGUACCUAUUGUAUUUGCUUCUCCUAAGGGUUGGUCGGAUAACAAAAAUGUUCUAUUUUCCAACACAUCAUUAUGGAUUGGAUUAGUCUUUCUGGUGGGUAUCCUUAAUUCUCUCAUCUCUUGAACCUAUUCGUUCUAUAUCCAAAAAUGAAAUGAUCCCCCUCCCAAUUCCUUUAGGUUGUGAGACACAUUAAAAUUCAAUAUAAGUCCCAAAAAUUCAAAUAAAGAAAAAAAUUAGAAAAAUUAGAGGGGGGGGG